rnacentral:rRNA from 1 species
AACGAACGCUGGCGGCAGGCCUAACACAUGCAAGUCGAACGAGAGGCGGACGGGUGAGUAAUGUCUGGGAAAAUGCCCGAUGGAGGGGGAUAACUAGUGGAAACGGUAGCUAAUACCGCAUACCAUCGGAUGUGCCACGAUGGGAUUAGCUAGGAGGUGGGGUAAAGGCUCACCUAGGCGACGAUCCCUAGCUGGUCUGAGAGGAUGACCAGCCACACUGGAACUGAGACACGGUCCAGACUCCUACGGUAGGCAGCAGUGGGGAAUAUUGCACAAGGGGCGCAAGCCUGAUGCAGCCAUGCCGCGUGUAUGAAGAAGGCCUUCGGGUUGUAAAGUACUUUCAGCGAGGAGGCGUUACUCGCAGAAGAAGCACCGGCUAACUCCGUGCCAGCAGCCGCGGUAAUAC